CGCGUAGGUGGCCUUGUUAGUCAGACGUGAAAUCCCCAAGCUUAACUUGGGAACUGCGUCUGAUACUGCAAGGCUUGAGUUCGGGAGAGGGAUGUGGAAUUCCAGGUGUAGCGGUGAAAUGCGUAGAUAUCUGGAGGAACACCGGUGGCGAAGGCGGCAUCCUGGACCGAAACUGACACUGAGGCGCGAAAGCUAGGGGAGCAAACG
rnacentral:rRNA from 1 species